CGUCGGACAUCUUGUAGAGGAUGUACGCGUUGUUGAUGGCGAUGCUGAUGCUCAGCCAGAACACCUGCUGCCACGUCUUGUUGGGCUUGUGGAAGAUGAAGUACCUGACCAGCGAGAGCAAACGUAUACUUAUAUGUAGCUGAGGUGCGCCGCAAAGGCCUCCACCGCCAGAGGACACGGAACCUCGCCGCUUUUCCUCUUGAUGAUCAAACCUGCAGCAAACACAGAGUGGUGAUGAAGAUCGGGUCCUCGUCUAUCAAGGGUUCAUGGAGAACCUUCAAAAUAAGAUGAUAAUUUAUGUAGCACACCAGCCUCCCGUGCUGUGGAGCUGUCACGUCAACGCCAGCUGAGGAAAAACCCAACCAGGCAAAUGGGGAAAAUAUUCAGAGGACAACACCAUUCUUUUGUCCGCUCGAGGUUUGUCCGUCCGUCCGACCGCACCCACAGCAGUUGUGCAAACACUGAACACACACCUGCUGCUUCUCUAAGAGUCAAACAGGAGCAGGAUGCAAAACAUCCCGGAGUCACUCAUCGAUGCAACUUCCUACUCGGCUUUGUGUGAUUUACAACUGCAGGAUCCACGGAAAACGGGGCAAGACUGCGUAAAAGGCGCUUGUCAUUGCAACUGGCAUCAUAACUCUGCUUCUGAACACACCUCACACUCACCUGGUCUGCCAGGGAAUAAGAAAAUGUAGCAGGAGGGAUCCGUGUCGGUAUAUUUAUCAGGUAUUCAGGCCCUCUAGAUUGUAUUUCAAAGAAGCGACUAGCGACAAAUUAACUCCAGGGUCUUGUUUCAUGAAAUUAAUGACACCGUCUCAUCCGAGGCGUGUAGCAGCUCCAGCUAGCAAAAAGUUGGUAAACAACAGCUACAUUAUUCAUUCAUUUUCUACCGCUUAUCCUCACAAGGGUCGCGAGGGGUGCUGGAGCCUAUCCCAGCUGUCUUCGGGGCGAGAGGCGGGGUACACCCUGGACUGGUGGCCAGCCAAUCACAGGGCACAUAUAGACAAACAACCAUUCACACUCACAUUCAUACCUAUGGACAAUUUGGAGUCGCUAAUUAACCUAGCAUG